GCUUUCCCUCUCUGCGCAGUGCCCCUUCAGUGAAGCGGCAGGAGAAGUGGAGCCACUUCCAUUUCUCCUCCCGCUUUGCUGAAGGGGCGCUGAUCAGAGAGGGAGAGA
rnacentral:miRNA from 1 species